ensembl:lncRNA
GGCCAAUGGCUCCUGGCCUGAAUCAGGAAUGGUGUGGCCAGCAGGAGCAGGGCAGGGAUUCUUCCCCUGUGCUCAGCACUGGUUGGGCAGCACCUCCAGUUCUGUGUCCAUUUCUGGGCUCCCAAUUUAGGAAGGACAUGGAGGGGCUGGAGUAUGUCCAGAGAAGGGCAACAAGGCUGGGGAGGUGUCUGGAGCACAAGUCUUGUGAGGAACAGCUGAGAGAUUUGUGUUUGAGCCUGGAGAAGAGGAGGCUCUGGGGAGACCUCAUCACUCUCUAAAAUUCCCUGACAGGAGGGUGCAGCCAGGUGAGGGUCAGGCUCUGCUCCCAGCUGACCACUGACAGAAAGUGAGGACCCAGCCUUAAGCUGCACCUGGAGAAGUUUGGGUUGGACAUCAGAAAAAAAUUCUUCACAGAAGGAGAGAUUGGGCACUGGAAUUGUCUGACCAAGGCUGGUGGAGUCACUGUCCCUGGAGGGUUUAACAAAGCCUGGGCGUGGCACUCAGUGCCAGGCUUUAGUCCAUGAGGAGGUGUUGGGUCAUAGGUUGGACUUGAUGAUCUCAAAGGUCUUUUCCAACCUAAUUUAUUCAGGGAUUCUGUGAGCUGCUUCCAAUAAAACCUUGCACUGCCAUGUUCUCCAGCCUUCAGCCAGCACACACACAUCUCAGGGCACCAUUUUGCAAAGGGCUGUGUCACAGUGCAAUUCUGGCAGUUAUGGCAAGCUUGCCUUUGGAGCUGGAACCAAACUCCUGGUUUCUCCAGAAGUUACUCCAUCUCCCUCAGUCUACAGGCUGACCUCCAAAGAUGACCAGGGUCUGGAAAUGUGCCUUAUCACAGAUUACUCCCCUGAGAAGCUCACUCUGAACUCGGCUGAGCAGCACACAUCUGCUGUUGUGGAGGUGGCAACCACGGAGAACAGCGAGGAGUCCAGCUACCUGUCCACCUACUGGGCCAGGAGAGAUGAGCUGCACUGUGGUGCCAGCCACGAGGGCUUUGGAGAGCUGGAGGGCGAGGACCCUGAGAGUGGUGCCAGUGAUGUCUGUGUCACAGGGCUGUCCCUACAGUUCAGGACAGAUGAACACUUGAACACACUGUCUUUGUCACAGCUGGGCCUCAAAAUCGUUCUGAUGAAAGCAAUCAUUUUCAAUGUGCUGAUGACGAUGCUUAUGUGGAAGAAAAAAAAGGACUGAGAGUAACCAGGUGAUGCAGUCCUGAAGUACCAAACCCAUCUGCUUUGAGAGAGCAUCGUGAGCAAGAGGGAGCUGAGGGAUUAUUCUUUGUGCAAGGGACAUCCCUUCCUGCUCUUAUGUACCACACCAGCCAUUAUCUUCUAAAUUGCUUUAUUUGCAUUGCUAUAAAACUACUCAAAAUGAAACAUUUCCAGCAUUCUGCCCUCCAGAUGUCUGGGCCAUUCACCAUACAUUGCCUCUUUUGCAUGAAGCAGACUUUGCUAUAAUUACACAUUACCAAAAAUGUGUUGUUACUUGCAUUAAAGUGACAACUUCUGCCUGAGCAGUGCUGUGUGUUAAAAACUGCCAGCUAAAUAUGAGAAUUUUUCCUAUUUUGAUUGCUUUAGGUUAUUCAUAUGUGUUAGGGUACACCCCCAGAAACCUUUUCAGAUGCAAAUGAAACACUUUGAAAAGCAAAGGGAGUCUGACUCAAGAUGCACUGUCCUGCCACCCUUAUCUAGAUUAGAACAAGAUAUCCCAUUUUUUCCCUAAAGCAUGAGCUGCACAUCUCCCAGAAGUCCCAAAUUCAGUGAAAUUGUCACUUCAAUAUCACAGAAAAAAAAAUUAAAAAUUUUUAAAAUCUAUCUGACCAUAACACCUUCUUAAUUUAAACCAGUUUAAUUUGGCUUUGUGUUUAGUAAAAAUACAAUGUUCUUUCAAUGUUUAGUAAAAAUACAAUGUUCAUAGAAAAAUGUUCUUUUUGUUUCCUUCUAACAACCUGAGAUCUCUCUCUCUUCUUUUUGUAACAAUUGCAUAAAUAUUUACCUGUCCAUGUGGGCCCACCUUGGAACAGUGCUUGCCUGUGGCAUCUGCAUGCUGCUAAUUCAUGAACUGUACUGCCAUCCACAAGAUAUCUUGUUAUAAAACAAUUCUUACAAAAAAUGGGAAACUGGUUUGUCUCUUGU